UCUGACAUGUUUGCAUUAUUCAUCAAGAUGGAUGGUGACCGCUCUUUAUAAUCCCUGUGAAUCGCUAGUCUGUGUAUUUUUUGUGCAUGUUCCAACAGAGAUGUGUGUUGUCUGAAGCAACAUGACCUCUACAACCUGAGAUUAGUAUGCUGUUCGAAACAUUAUCUUCAAGUACACCUCAAAGACCACUUCCGAGGAAAUUGGAAAUAUCUACUGAAGUUUGCGAAGUCCAUCGUCUACGGAAGGUAUCGAUAACGGAGUGGAUUUUUCUGACGCACCUCAUUUGGCUAAGUAGGAUUUGAAGUUUUCACGGCGGUGAGUCCACCAUCAGGGCGAUCGCCGUGAUGAUGGAGGCAGCAAGGACCUACGAAACUUUGGUGAACUUCUAUAGACUACAAGGCGCAACAUCCCACAAGA